ACAGUGAAUCGGAGGUACCUUUUACUACUUUUCCUUUAUUCUUGUUUCUUAAACGAAGAAAUAUAUAAAAAAAACAAAGAAAAUCUAAGAUUGAAACAUCCACAAAAAUAUUCACCUUUCGAAAACUCUAUUCCUUUUUUGAUUUUAUUCUGCCUGUCCAAAAAAAACUACAAGGAGAGAUGUGGCUUUUAAAGCUGAAAAAAAAUACAAGAUUCAUUUUUUAUAUUUUUUUUAUUUUUAUCGUUUCCAUGUUGUUUGCUAAUUUUUCUUCUUCGUUUCUUGUGUUUCGCGUGCUAGUUUCAUCUUGCAGGUGUCAGACGCGUGGAAGGCCGGUGGUUGGUGCCCUAGGCGGUGGUGGUGGUGCGCGUGAUGGCCAAGGGCAGAGGGGAGUGGCGGCUGAAAUCUUGGUGGCUAGGUUUUUUGCUGUUGAAAAAUGUUUAGUUUGUUGGGCUAGGUGGGCUUUAGGGUUUUGUAUUAUUUGGGUCAU
rnacentral:lncRNA from 1 species